GGGGCUAUAGCUCAGUUGGUAGAGCGUUUGCAUGGCAUGCAAGAGGCCGGCGGUUCGACCCCGCCUAGCUCCACCA
rnacentral:tRNA from 1 species